rnacentral:pre_miRNA from 1 species
UUUUUAGUAUAAGUAUGCCCCAAGAAAUAUUUGGGAUAUAUUUAUACUAAAA